CGCCGUCUCCGAUCUUUCAAUAUAUGAACUGCGGUCUGAUCUGUAAAUUCACCUGAGAACUAUUCUGGAUUCUGACAUUUCGUUGAUGUAUAUGGCGAGAAGUGCUUGGUAGGGCAGGAAUAACUUACUCUAUCGACGCAACAGUCUCCAUCCUUUUAAAGUGCAUGCAAUAUCCUCAUAUUCAGUUUGUUGCCUUAGUAUGUGUCUUCCUAAUCGAUUUAUGAGAUUGAAAGAUCAAUACAAUACUGUUGUCUAAAUUCAAAGACGAAAUACAACAUUAUCUGAAUUUCUCUUAUUUCGGUGUAUACAU
rnacentral:lncRNA from 1 species